rnacentral:rRNA from 1 species
GAUGAACGCUGGCGGCGUGCCUAAUACAUGCAAGUCGAGCGAACAGAUAAGGAGCUUGCUCCUUUGACGUUAGCGGCGGACGGGUGAGUAACACGUUGGUAACCUACCUAUAAGACUGGAAUAACUCCGGGAAACCGGGGCUAAUGCCGGAUAACAUUUAGAACCGCAUGGUUCUAAAGUGAAAGAUGGUUUUACUAUCACUUAUAGAUGGACCCGCGCCGUAUUAGCUAGUUGGUAAGGUAACGGCUUACCAAGGCAACGAUACGUAGCCGACCUGAGAGGGUGAUCGGCCACACUGGAACUGAGACACGGUCCAGACUCCUACGGGAGGCAGCAGUAGGGAAUCUUCCGCAAUGGGCGAAAGCCUGACGGAGCAACGCCGCGUGAGUGAUGAAGGUCUUCGGAUCGUAAAACUCUGUUAUUAGGGAAGAACAAAUGUGUAAGUAACUGUGCACGUCUUGACGGUACCUAAUCAGAAAGCCACGGCUAACUACGUG